AAUGAACGCUGGCGGCAGGCCUAACACAUGCAAGUCGAACGGAUCCUUCGGGAUUAGUGGCGGACGGGUGAGUAACGCGUGGGAACAUACCCUUUGGUACGGAAUAGCCUCGGGAAACUGGGAGUAAUACCGUAUGUGGUCGAGAGACGAAAGAUUUAUCGCCAAAGGAUUGGCCCGCGUUGGAUUAGGUAGUUGGUGGGGUAAUGGCCUACCAAGCCGACGAUCCAUAGCUGGUUUGAGAGGAUGAUCAGCCACACUGGGACUGAGACACGGCCCAGACUCCUACGGGAGGCAGCAGUGGGGAAUCUUAGACAAUGGAGGAAACCCUGAUCUAGCCAUGCCGCGUGAUCGAUGAAGGCCUUAGGGUUGUAGAGAUCUUUCAGGUGGGAAGAUAAUGACUGUACCACCAGAAGAAGCCCCGGCUAACGCCGUGCCAGCAGCCGCCGUAACAC
rnacentral:rRNA from 1 species